AUAAAUUGUGCAGUGCUAGGUGUAGCAAAUCAUUGCUUAUGAAAUCUACUGUGUUAUCUAAUAGAACCAAACUAAUAGAGCUAUCACAUAACUGAGAAACUUGUGUGGCUUAUUACAAAUGGAUGAAACCACAUAUUACCUUAAUGAAGACAGUAAUCUUUAAUAAGGUGUAGAAAAAAAGAGAAGAAUUUUUGUUUAUAUUCCAGCUGUGGUAAACAAAGAAGUGUACUGAAUCUUUUGGACUACACAGAGUGAUGUAGUGUUGACUCUGAUGCUGAUCUGAGUUGUCUCACUCUGUAUUUUUGUGCUUUGUCUUUUGUUACACAGAGUGAAAGAGAUCUUUGGUUUUGCCUUUGCUGACUGCUGAUCUGAUCGUCUCAAGUCUGGUGACCUGCUGCAGAAAACCCUCUCCCUCUAUCAUUAUCAAGCAAUUCUGUCUAUCCUAUCACUCUCCCAACUCUAUCUAAUUUGACAGCCAUUCUAUCUUGUAUCACUCUAUCCCAACUGCUCUAUCUAAUUUGACAGCCAUUCUAUCUUGUAUCACUCUAUCCCAACUGCUCUAUCUAAUUUGACAGCCAUUCUAUCUUGUAUAAAUCUAUCCCAAGCACUCUAUCUCGUUUUCAGAAAUCUAAGUCUUCAGAAAUCCCAGUUUUCAGAAAUCCCAGUCUUCAGAAAUCUAAGUCUUCAGAAAUCUAAGUCUUCAGAAAUCUAAGUCUUCAGAAAUCUAAGUCUUCAGAAAUCCCAGUUUUCAGAAAUCCCAGUCUUCAGAAAUCCCAGUUUUCAGAAAUCCCAGUCUUCAGAAAUCCAAGUUUUGAAAAAUCCAAGUCUUCAGAAAUCCAAGUUUUGAAAAAUCCAAGUCUUCAGAAAUCCAAGUUUUGAAAAAUCCAAGUUUUGAAAAAUCCAAGUUUUUGGCAAUUGAAGUUACCAGAACUUUAUCAAUCUAUAUUCAGAAUUCUGAGAGAUCUCCACUCUCACUGCUCCUCCUUUCCUGUCAUUAAACUCUCUCUCCAUUCAUUUUGCUGGAAAAUAACAAUUAGAAAGUUGAAUAUACAGUAGUAGAAUUGCAGUGCAGUAGAACUUAUAGUAGAAACUACUUAUACAGCCCUACAUUUGUAGUUUUAACUUGGCAUUACACUUUGGAAUAAACACUGAUAGUUUGGCUUACUGGUGCAAUUACUUUGAUACAUUAUAUAAAAUAUACACCUUUUUAUAAGGUUUAUUUGUAAUAAGAUAAUCUGACUAUUCUAUAAUAUAUUCAGAGUGCUAUAUUCACAUAAAUAUUAAAUUUGAUUCAAAUACAUUUUUCAAGUCUGUUUCGUUGGCUAUAACAUUUGACUACAAGUUUAUACUAUUAUUAUCGAAGGACAAACCCUUUUUGUCACUCAGUGUAAGUGUUCAGUUACAAUUGUCAUCUAGAGGCUGCCCUGUGAACCCAGACUUCCUGUUUCCUGACUGCUGCAGAACAUCCAGCUGAAGAAUCCCCAUCGCCUGUCAUCUGAUCACCACACCAUCACAGCUCCUUAUAUUUGCUUUAAAUUUUAAAUAUCUGAAACAUUUACACAAAGUCUACUUAAAAGCUAAGAUUUUUUAUCAUAGCCUGUUGAUUGAUUGUUGAGAUUUAUUCUGCAUAUUACUUUACAGAAGUAUAGACCUAUUUGUUAUCCAGUCUGGUUAAAAAAAUAUAAGAAGUUGUAAUAUACAGUUUUUGAAAAAGUUACAAUAAAACAGACCAAAGUGU